AGCCCUGUAGUUCAACGGAUAGAAUGGGAGUUUCCUAAACUUUUGAUCCGAGUUCGAUUCUCGGCGGGGCUACAA
rnacentral:tRNA from 1 species